rnacentral:rRNA from 1 species
GUGGGGAAUAUUGGACAAUGGGCGAAAGCCUGAUCCAGCCAUGCCGCGUGUGUGAAGAAGGUCUUCGGAUUGUAAAGCACUUUAAGUUGGGAGGAAGGGUAGUAACCUAAUACGUUGCUACUUUGACGUUACCGACAGAAUAAGCACCGGCUAACUUCGUGCCAGCAGCCGCGGUAAUACGAAGGGUGCAAGCGUUAAUCGGAAUUACUGGGCGUAAAGCGCGCGUAGGUGGUUCAGUAAGUUGGAAGUUACAUCACCGGGCUCAACCUGGGAACUGCUUUCAAAACUGCUGAGCUAGAGUACGGUAGAGGGUGGUAGAAUUUCCUGUGUAGCGGUGAAAUGCGUAGAUAUAGGAAGGAACACCAGUGGCGAAGGCGACCACCUGGACUGAUACUGACACUGAGGUGCGAAAGCGUGGGGAGCAAACAGGAUUAGAUACCCUAGUAGUCC